AGGUUAAGUUAUUAAGGGCGCAUGGCGGAUGCCUUGGCACUAGAAGCCGAUGAAGGACGGCACUAACACCGAUAUGCUUUGGGGAGCUGUAAGUGAGCUUUGAUCCAGAGAUUUCCGAAUGGGGGAACCCACUAUCUUUAAUCGGAUAGUAUCUACACGUGAAUUCAUAGCGUGAUGAUGGCAGACUCAGGGAACUGAAACAUCUAAGUA
rnacentral:rRNA from 1 species